rnacentral:tRNA from 1 species
UAAUUUUUAUUAUAUUUAGUAUAUUUAUUUUUCAUGUAAAAGGAAAAAAUUAU